CACUCCGUCACCCAGGCUGAAGUGUAAUGGCAUGGUCUUGGCUCACUGCAACCUCCGCCUCCUGGGUUCAAGCGAUUCUCCUGCCUCAGCCUCCCGAGUAGCUGGGACUACAGGUGCAUGACACCACACCCGGCUAAUUUUUGUAUUUUUAACAGAGACGGGGUUUCACUGUGUUGGCCAGGCUGGUCUCGAACUCCUGACCUCGUGAUCCACCUGCCUCGGCCUCCCAAAGUGCUGGAAUUACAGGCAUGAACCACCGUACCCGGCCACACUUUUUUUUUUUCUUAAUCAACUUAAUGACUCACUCCCUUGACAUUUUGAUUUAAGGAGACUUUCUCUCUCAAGAUAUCUAUAGUUUACAACAAUUUGGUAAAGUAUACUUUUGUGAACAAAACUGGCAACACUUACUUUUUCUCUGUCCCUCCAAAAUUUGGAAACUAUUUGACACUAGGUGAAAACAGAAAACUGCUUCCAGCUGAACUGAGCCAUACAGUGUCAAGUGAAAAACAAAUCUAGACCAAGGGGAUGUUUCCAGGGAAAAGAAGGACAUUCUGCUCUGCUCUCUUUUUGGGUAUUAGGUCUACCAGCAUUUGGAUCAUGUCGGUGGACGUUCUAUGUAUCCACUACUGAUGGGAAACUUCCUGGUGAAGGAGAGAUGAACUUUGCUAUGAGGACAUCCACCACCAUGCUCGUCAUCCAGCAUCCGCAUGCAAGCUGGGUGGGGUGGGAGCUCAAAGUUGGUCAAAGACAAGACUUUAAUGCUCUCAACUUUUAGUUCAUUCCUUCAUUUGUUCAAUUAAUUCAAUUGUUCAUUCACCUAUAUACUUCUUCCUUCAUUCAGUCAUUCUUUCAACAAACACUGGUGAGACGUAUUAUCGAUGCUCACCCAGAUCCCUUCCUACUGAUCAUGUGCCCCAAGUCCCCCUCCUUAGGUGCACUUUCCCUUCCAACAGCCAGCACCUGUGGCUCUUUUUAGGAGGUCUGUUCUUGGGAAUUUACGUUAUCCUGAUUCUCAAGGUGUCCUUAACCAGUGCCCAGGGAGUACAGGAGUCAGAAAGCCCCAGGCCUCUAGCCCCUAACCAGGAAAAGUCUAAGGCAUAACUUACACUCCAGGGUUCCCCCAGGAUCAGGCUGAAGCUGCCCUGUGAGGGAUUUUGUCUGAAAUCACAUCCGUGACCAGAGGGCUGGGACUAGGCAGGGAGAGGCGAGUAAGGCAACCAGGGCACAAAAUUGAAGGAGACGCUUAACACUCAGGUUCAGGCACAAACCUCCUUACAUUUCACACUGUAGGCCCCUCACUUGACUCCCCCCCACCUCCAGCUCUGGCCCUGCUGGCUGGUCUCCCCUUUCUUUCCUGUCUGCUUCCCCUAUUCCUUUGUGGGUUUCCCUGGGAACACUUCUAUAAUAAACCACGUGCUGGCGAGUCUUCAACUCAGGGUUCAUUUAUGGGAAACCUGACCAAACAUGACGGAGUAACUACUGUGUCCUGGAAACUGUUCUGCAUAUACAAAACAGAAUAAGUCACGGUCUCUGCUCUCCAAGAGCUCACAGUCUGGUGGGACCACAUGGUUUGGACCCUCUGUCUGCAAAUAACUGUGUCUCCCUGGGUGUAGCCCUGAGGAAGGGAGAAGUUCACCCUAAUGCUCAAAUCACUGGCCUCAACUGCCUUGCUACUAUAAGUUGCCUAAGGCUGCUGCGUUGAAGAGAAUCCACAGCAUAUGAAAAAUGAAAGCACUGUUUCAGAAUAAUUGGUUUUGUACAGUCAGUUGCUGCAGACAUCCGUGGAUUUGCGUGUGCUGUAAAGGCGAAGAGAUUUGUUCUGACUUAUUUUACAGCAUUUGGAUUUGUGGUUAGUGCAAUCCCAGCUGCAGGGGAAACAUUUGGCUCUUGUCACUGCCAUGCCUCACAUAGAAUUACAGUGAGAGGUCAGGGUACUCAGAGGCAUCCCUAUGGUGGAACCAUGGUGCCAACAUUGGGGUUUGGGUCUUGGAGAAAGUCCCAGUGACAACAUGCUUUCACCGUUGUAGCAGGUUGAAUAGGGACCUAGGACUUACAUGCAUUCAACCUUGUAGCAGGUUGAAUAGGGACCCCCAGAAUUUGUGUUCACCUGGAACCUCAGAAGAUGGCCUUAUUUGGAAAUAUAGUCUUCGCAGAUAUAAUUAGCUUAAGACCUAGAGAUGAAAUCACCCUGGAUUUAGAGUGGGUCAUAAAUCCAAUCACUGGUGUCCUCAUAAGAAGAGGACAGGACACACACAGAGACAUAGAGAAGAUGACCAUGUAAACAUUGAUGCAGAGAUGAGAGGGAUGCAACUACAAGCCAAGAGAAGCCAAAGAUUUCCAGGAGCCACCAGCUAGGAAGAUGUAAGGAACGAUUCUUCCCUGGAGCCUUCAGAGGAAGCAUUGUCUUGCUGACACCUUGAUUUUGGACUUCCAGCCUUCAGAAGUGUGAAAGAAUAAAUCUCUGCUGUGUUAAGUGGCUGAGUUUGUGGUAAUUUGUUGCAGCAGUCCUAGGAAAUUAACACAACCCUGAGCCUCUUCAAAGGAUUAAAGGAAUGGCAUUCAAGUGAAGUUACAAACCAGGGACCAGGCAAGUUACAGCCAUGGACUUGGAAGUUGAGAAAUUGCAAAAAAGUGGCAAAUGACUAGCAACCCCCGAUGUGGUCCCUCCCAGCUUUUCACUAAAUCCUUAUGACUAGGCAGAAAAAAAGAGAAAAAGAAAAUUCUCGUUAAUGUAGGAAACUAAGAUGGGCCCUCAAGUUAACUCCAGAACCUAACAGAGACUGAGUGUAAUUCAAGGCUGCUGAUACAGGUGGUUGGAAAACAAACAAACAAACAAACAAAGAAACCCUACCCAGGCUUAUGUGCAAGGCAUACUCUCCUUUUGGUUCAGGUUCAAGAGAGAAGAACUUUUCAAACUUGAAUGUGCACAAAUCACCUGUGGACUUUGUUCAAAUGCAGGUUCUGAUUCAGCAGAUCUGGGGUGGGGUUGAGAAUCUGCAUUUCUCAAGAGAUUCCAGGUAAGGCGGCUGCUAUUGGACCAUAUUUUGAGUGACAAAACCUUAGAGUACUUUUGACCAGGCACUGGCCAAAGGAGGAAGCUCCAACUACAGCUGACCAGAUAGAUGUUCACCAGGUGAAAGCCUGUUUGAAUCUGGGGGCCGAAUUGAAAUCUUGGUAGACCGUUCUGUAUUUACCAUUCGUAAUAUUAGAGGCCCCUUUAUGGAGGAGGAUAAUACUCUCCUGCCUAAUGACAACAGGGCUUAGCCUCCUAACUUAUUCUGGCCAAGGGGAUGUGGAUGGUGUCACUUCUGAUGACACUUGCUGAAUAGUGCCUGGUUCAUCACACUCCCCUUCCCUCCACCAUAUAGCUAGUUCUGUCCACUCUUCUAUAUUCUACUCUGCCAUGCUGAGGCUCUUUUGUCUGAUGUUCCUUUUGGUUUUGCCAUCAGUGAGCAUGGGGAGAGGCUGCAAGCAAAGGAGAGGGGAGAAGGGUCUUGUUCACUCCUGUUUGCCUGCCGAUCCUGUCAGUGUCUCCAUAGCAACAGCCCUUGCUCCUGGCACUAGUAGUUGGUUCCAGUUCCCAGCCCUCCCAAAGCCAGCCUUAUUGCACCUCCUGUGAGACCAGUUGAGCAGCUCCACCUCUUCAGAGAUCUGGGUACCAGCUCUGUGUGGCCAGCCCUGCCUCUAAGUCGCUAGGUUCUGAUAAUCCCAAUUUAUUCCCUUCAUUCCCCCAAAUCUAGGGGUGGCCUUUGCUUAGGAUUGGUCUUUCCUUCCUGCAGUUAACUCUUAGUGUUCCCUCACUGUUCUCUGUUGACUUUUCAUUCCUCUAGUGCUCAUGAAAACAAUUUCCUAUAUUAAAUUCUCUCUGUUAAAGUCACAGUAUAGUUUCUGUUUUCCUGAUGCUAAUGUCCCAGAUGGGAGCUCCAAUAGGAGCCUGGGUCUUGGAGUAAUGGUGCAGGGCAGGGUCUUAGCCAACCUGCAGUGAACAUGUGGUCUGAGUGAGAAAUAAAUAUUUGUGCUGUGACUCACCAAGAUUUCUGGGGUCAUUUUUUUAAUGUGGCAUAAUCUAGCCUAUUUUGAUUAAUACAGAAGUCACAAAUGUCACAUUCCCCAGCUGGGGCCAUAAGAAGAGGAUUCUCUCCCCAUGCCAGUAGGCAGAGAGCAGCACCCAAG
rnacentral:lncRNA from 1 species